rnacentral:rRNA from 1 species
CAGCCGCCGCGGGAAUACGAAUGGUGCAAGCGUUAAUCGGAAUUACUGGGCGUAAAGCGUGCGUAGGCGGUGAGUUAAGUCUGCUGUGAAAUCCCCGGGCUCAACCUGGGAAUGGCAGUGGAUACUGGCUCGCUAGAGUGUGUCAGAGGAUGGUGGAAUUCCAGGUGUAGCGGUGAAAUGCGUAGAGAUCUGGAGGAAUACCGGUGGCGAAGGCAGCCCCCUGGGCCAACACUGACGCUCAUGCACGAAAGCGUGGGGAGCAAACAGGAUUAGAUACCCGCGUAGUCCCUGUCUCUUAUAA